CCCUUAGAUGUUCUGGGCCGCACGCGCGCUACACUGACACGUUCAUCAAGUCUAUAACCUUGACCGAGAGGUCUGGGUAAUCUUUUAAAAGCGUGUCGUGCUGGGGAUAGAUUAUUGCAAUUAUUAAUCUUCAACGAGGAAUUCCUAGUAAACGCAAGUCAUCAACUUGCAUUGAUUACGUCCCUGCCCUUUGUACACACCGCCCGUCGCUACUACCGAUUGAAUGAUUUAGUGAGUACCAGGGACCGAGCGCUUUGGUUGGGUUUCCUUCCCUAGCGCUUGGGAACUGUCGCAAACUUGACCAUUUAGAGGAAGUAAAAGUCGUAACA
rnacentral:rRNA from 1 species